rnacentral:lncRNA from 1 species
UAUGAUUGCAUCUCCUUUAUUUUUGGAAUGUCUUUAUUGUCCCCCACCCUCUCUUCAAACUGGCUUUGAGUCUAGACAAUAUAUCCAUUUAGUAUGUGAGAAAUAAAAAUUGCCAUCUAGGAGAGGCUUGGUAAAGAUGUUGGGAAUUGUUGAGAAAAAGAGAAAGAAUUGCAUGAUUAGCAUCCCAAAAGCAACCCUAUUAGACAAAAUGAUAUUUUGUGUAUGUUUGGUGAGAGCAUGAGAAACAAGAUCAGUUGUAAUAUAAAGAGCAUUGGCAUUGUCAUAAAAGUAUAUCCUUUUUUUAGUAGGUGCAGCUCCAAUCUCAUAUAGAA